UGGGGGAUAUUGCACAAUGGGCGAAAGCCUGAUGCAGCGAUGCCGCGUGUAGGAAGACGGCCUUAUGGGUUGUAAACUACUGUUUUCGGGGACGAUAAUGACGGUACCCGACAAGAAAGCUCCGGCUAACUACGUG
rnacentral:rRNA from 1 species